AGGCUUGCAGUGACAUUUGCAACACAUGGCAUAAUGAACUGUGCAAAAGCAUUGUCGGUGCUUGUCUUUUGCUGCUUGAAAAUACAAACUGUAUCAACUAUCGCAUGUUUGGAUUGUGGAGAUGGCGUGGAGUCAUUGUCGCAAUGUAACACGUUCAAGGAAUGCGGGCCUACGGAGGCGUGCUACAUAGAAAGAUAUAUAAACCUUGGCAGUGGAGUUCAACAAUUCAAAGCCGGAUGCAGG